rnacentral:rRNA from 1 species
AUCAAUAAGCGGAGGAAAAGAAACUAACAAGGAUUCCCCUAGUAACUGCGAGUGAAGCGGGAAAAGCUCAAAUUUAAAAUCUGGCGGUCUUUGGCCGUCCGAGUUGUAGUCUGGAGAAGUGCUUUCCGCGCUGGACCGUGUACAAGUCUCUUGGAACAGAGCGUCGUAGAGGGUGAGAAUCCCGUCUUUGACACGGACUACCAGUGCUUUGUGAUGCGCUCUCAAAGAGUCGAGUUGUUUGGGAAUGCAGCUCAAAAUGGGUGGUGAAUUCCAUCUAAAGCUAAAUAUUGGCGAGAGACCGAUAGCGAACAAGUACCGUGAGGGAAAGAUGAAAAGCACUUUGGAAAGAGAGUUAAACAGUACGUGAAAUUGCUGAAAGGGAAACGCUUGAAGUCAGUCGCGUCGUUCAGAACUCAGCCUUGCUUUCGCUUGGUGCAUUUUCUGACUGACGGGCCAGCAUCGAUUUUGAUCGUCGGAAAAGGGCUGGAGUAAUGUGGCACCUUCGGGUGUGUUAUAGACUCUGGUCGCAUACGACGGUUGGGAUCGAGGAACGCAGCGCGCCGUAAGGCAGGGGUUCGUCCCACUUUCGCGCUUAGGAUGCUGGCAUAAUGGCUUUAAACGACCCGUCUUGAAACACGGACCAAGGAGUCUAACAUGCCUGCGAGUGUUUGGGUGGAAAACCCGAGCGCGUAAUGAAAGUGAAAGUUGAGACCUCUGUCGUGGAGGGCAUCGACGCCCGGACCUGACGUUCUCUGACGGAUCCGCGGUAGAGCAUGUAUGUUGGGACCCGAAAGAUGGUGAACUAUGCCUGAAUAGGGUGAAGCCAGAGGAAACUCUGGUGGAGGCUCGUAGCGAUUCUGACGUGCAAAUCGAUCGUCAAAUUUGGGUAUAGGGGCGAAAGACUAAUCGAACCAUCUAGUAGCUGGUUCC